rnacentral:rRNA from 1 species
UACGUAGGGUGCAAGCGUUGUCCGGAAUUAUUGGGCGUAAAGAGCUCGUAGGCGGUUUGUCGCGUCGAAUGUGAAAACCCGGGGCUCAACCCCGGGCCUGCAUUCGAUACGGGCAGACUAGAGUUCGGUAGGGGAGUCUGGAAUUCCUGGUGUAGCGGUGAAAUGCGCAGAUAUCAGGAAGAACACCCGUGGCGAAGGCAGCUCGCUAAACUGUAACUGACGCUGAGGCACGAAAGCGUGGGGAGCAAACAGG